GUGUUGAGUCCUAUCACUCACUAUAGCAGCACAUAUACUAAAAUUGGAACGAUACAGGGAAGAUAAGCAUGCGCCCGGUGUAAGGAUGACACAUAAAGUGUUGAGUCCCAUAUAUAAUAAUU
ensembl:snRNA U6 U6 spliceosomal RNA